ensembl:lncRNA
CAGUCAUUAGAGUAUUAGUAGACUGUCUGCUUACAUUUCUCCUAACUAACUUUGAUCUUGGCACAGCAGUUAAUUUCACAUUCAAACUGCACCAAAACUACCAAAACACUUCAUAAAGGCUUUCAACAAACACACUGUCACUCAUAAAAUAAGGACCUAAAACACCAAAAACAUUUAGCAUAAUACAAAGUUUUCUUUUGUAAAAUUCCAUUACAAAACAAGAAUGAGUCUCUCUACUGCUUAUAAUUACUACAAUACAUACUACACAGUCCGUGUUUACAUUACAGCACAAAAUUAUUCCUAAUAUGUCUCUUUUUGUGGAAAUGGUAUACACUCUCAGAAAUAAAGGUCAGCGGUCACGCCUCUUUCUUUCACUCGGCACGGCGGCAGUCGCUGGAGCCUGCAGGACGCUUGACAGCUCAACAAUGGCCCUGCCAACUUUAUCCUCAGAUGAGCUGAUCCAAACAUGACAGAAGGUGGUGUAACUAAGUUGAAGCACAGAAAUUCAGAGGUGAGUAAUACUGUCGUUAGCUAACGUAAAGUUACAUUUAAGCGACACUUGCGGCCCGCUGAUUAAAGUUGGCUGCACGUUAUCUAGAGUUAGAUCGAAAUAACAUUAUAUCGGGACUUAUUUGUAAGUUACCACUAACGUUAGUUACAUGUAGCUAGUUGUAAAGAUUGUAAAGAAAAAAGCAUGACGUUAGCUGACCUUAGCUAGCUUAGAGAUGGCUACAGCUAUCGUUAGCUAGCUCGAGUUCCUCGUACAGCCAACGUACUCAACUGAAAAGUUGAGUUAAAGUUAAGUUGGUGCCCAAAUAGUGCUAAAGCUAUGUAGAUAAUCAAUUAUAUAAGUGUUUAGUGUAUGGGUAUUGUAUAUUUAUAAGUUGAAGAUGUUGGAUGAUGUUCGAUUCCAUUUGUGCACGCGGAACACAGUUUAACGUUAGAAGAUGGCGGCUAUGUUGUGUACGUUAGAAUAGACUAGUUGCACGUGGCCGCCAUUUUGGAUUUCGGAUCAGCGAGUGUGCGGUUAGACACUUCCGGUUUCGCAUUAGCCCGGUGCAGGGAGCCGGAGAAAGCCGAAAUGUAUCUUUUAUAGUUGUUUAUAGAAUCAAUUAUCACUUAAAAUACUACUAAGAUCCAUAUUACUAUCACACAAGCGUAUGGCAAUUAAAUGCACGGAUGCAUAGUCAGAUUAAUGAAUGAAAUACAACUGUUCACGAACAGAAGAUUGUAUUUGACUCAUGCUGCAUACACAUACGCAAUGACAAUUAUGCCUACUGUAAAUAUAGAGUUACAACUACAAUUAGAGUUGUUUGCAUAAAAUGCACUGUGAACAUUCACUUGUUUGCCCCAUGUCUACUUUGCUGUAUUCUUCAGGGUGAACACAACACACCAUACCCAAUUGUCCAGGUGACCCAAGAAGACUGGAAGUCCACAUUUGAGAGACGUUUUGACUUUGGACAGUAAGUA